CUUCUGGUGAUGAGACCUUUGUCCAGUUCUGCUACUGAAUUUGAGGGAUGACUGUUUGGAGAUCUGAAGAGGA
rnacentral:snoRNA from 1 species